GACGAACGCUGGCGGCGUGCUUAACACAUGCAAGUCGAACGGUAAGGCCCUGCGGGGUACACGAGUGGCGAACGGGUGAGUAACACGUGGGGGAUCUGCCCUGCACUUCGGGAUUAGCCCGGGAAACUGGGUCUAAUACCGGAUAGGACCACUGCCUGCAUGGGGGGUGGUGGAAAGCCUUUGCGGUGUGGGAUGGGCCCGGGGCCUAUCAGCUGGUUGGUGGGGUGAUGGCCUACCAAGGCCACGACGGGUAGCCGGCCUGAGAGGGUGACCGGCCACACUGGGACUGAGAUACGGCGCAGACUCCUACGGGAGGCAGCAGUGGGGAAUAUUGCACAAUGGGCGCAAGCCUGAUGCAGCGACGCCGCGUGAGGGAUGACGGCCUUCGGGUUGUAAACCUCUUUCAGCACCGACGAAGCGCAAGUGACGGUAGGUGCAGAAGAAGGACCGGCCAACUACGUGCCAGCCGCCGCUGUAA
rnacentral:rRNA from 1 species